CGUUGAGAGUGUAGUUGUGAAACUGCAUCUUCCUUCUCGGUGAGAUACAGGGGGAAUGAAAUCUAUUUCUUGAAUCAUGAAGUUUCAACUUCUUUUCUGUUCUUCUUCUUCUUGACACUUUUCUUUACCAAGAAUUGUUGAAUUAUGUGGCUGGUGUUUUUUUGGGGUUUCUUGAAAAUGUUCCGUUAACCGCCGCGUGUGGUUUUGAAUUUUUUCUUGAAGUUUUGCGUGGAGAUUCCACCAUUCUUUGGCUUAUAAUUCCUUAUAUUACUCGCGUCUUGCUUUUCAGGGAGGUCUCGAAUAUGAACCCACUUUCUUGUUUUUAGUUCUGUUAUGUAGGGUUUGCAAUUGCGAGUACAUUAUGCCGCAUGGUUUCUUGUGAAUUAAAUAUGAUAUUGCUGGUGCCUUGUGGUUCUGCUACAAAAAUGAAGGAAAUAUUCUAGUGUUUUCUAUUGUCAGGUUCCAAUGCCUCUAGACUUCUGGGAAAAAUGAAGAAGAUGGCACUUUCAUUGUAUGCCCAGACUGUUUAAGUUUGAAUUAGCUGAGGAUUCCCUUGUUUUGGAGAACUACGGACACUCAUGAUUUCUCUUCGGAUUAGCUGCAUUAGAGCGCCUGAUAAUGUUCACAGGAUGCAGAAAUUUUCUCCUCGUGGGACAUUGCUGGGAAGCCGAUUAGCACCAUUAUCCACUUAUGGCCAUCUAAACCAUUAAAGGCUGACAUCAGAUCGAAAGAUUGCGAUUGGAAGUCGACAUACUUGAGGAAAAUGGCUUUCCGUAUAACACCUAACGCUAUUGAAGACGAUCUCAAGUUCUCAACACAAGAGCUUUUCCUAAUUGUACGCACCAGUAUCCACCUGAUGAGUUCAAGUGAUUCUGGAUACGAGGCUCUCGAGGACAGAUGAGGAGUCUUGCCUACUGUAAAUUAGAAUAUUUUGUUAGUAUUUUAUAACUUUUCUAUAUUAAAAGUUAGGCGCCUUAGAAUUUUGAAGUCAUAGUCAGAAAGAUGUAAAAGAAAGGUUUCUCCAAGAAAAUGCAAUCCCACGUUGCUUUGACAUGAAAUUUUAAUUUCCCAUCCAAUCUUUUUU